rnacentral:rRNA from 1 species
UACGUAGGGGGCUAGCGUUGUCCGGAAUCAUUGGGCGUAAAGAGUAUGUAGGCGGCCUAGUAAGUCAGUUGUGAAAGCCCCGGGCUCAACCCGGGAAGUGCAAUUGAUACUGCUUGGCUUGAAUGUGGAAGAGGGCAGUAGAAUUCCAGGUGUAGUGGUGAAAUACGUAGAUAUCUGGAGGAAUACCGGUGGCGAAGGCGGCUGCCUGGUCCUACAUUGACGCCUGAGAUACGAAAGCGUGGGGAGCAAACAGG